CUGGACAACCGGAGCAAACGGAUGAACUGGAAGAAACGGCAGAACCUCAGCCGACUGCAGAACCUCGGCAAACAGAGGAGCCUGAGCUGGCAUCAUCUCCCCUGAGCUCACGUGUGCCAGCUCGAAGAACCACCCGAAGGGCCAAGCCAUUGUUGCGUCAGUAUCCCAAGGUCCUCCUGAGCCCGCUGAAACUCACAGCCAAGAAAAAAAGUGAGCAGGCAAGGCGGACGCUACGCUUCAAGACGAGGGUAGUCUUGUAGUUUAUUUCAUUUGUUUCAUUUGUUAUUUUACACCCUGUGGCUGUUUUUUGUUCACUGUCAUGCAACAGUCUCAUUUUGUCUACUUCAUCUUUUAUUGGAAAACUCCUAAGUCUG